rnacentral:lncRNA from 1 species
AUAAUUUGUUUUUAAGGUCUUUCCCCUACAUGGGAAAGACCUUAUUGUUUUUCUAAUGUUUUUUUUUUCUUUUUCUUUUUAAGGUCUUUCCUCUACAAAGGAAAGACCUUAUUGUUUUUCUUCCGUUUUUUCUUUUUCUUUUUUUUCUUCCAACAUUUUUUUGACAUGCCCGCCUCUUGUUUCUGAUCAAGUUAUUAAGACCAAAUAUGGACCAUUGCUAGACCUCACCAAGAUGUAUUACCAAAUGACCCUGUUAAGGAUUUCAUCAUCCUCUUUAGGAGUUAUUUCCCUUUUAUUGAUUUUUUUU